rnacentral:lncRNA from 1 species
UCAAAAUCUUGUUCUAAGUAAUAUCGAUUUGUAAGAUGCAUCACGUUUCAAAUAAAUCAGACAAAUAAAAGAAACCGACGAUGACGAUAAUAAUGGGGUUACUAAUAAUUGUUCCAUAACAAUUAUAAUAAAAUCGAAUAAAAAGUAAGUAACCCAAUCGUAAAUCUUGUUAUUUAAUAUAAUCAAGAUAUUUGUGAACUACCUGAAAUUUGAAUGGAAGGUGUAUAUAUUUGUGGGGUUACUAAUAACUGUUCCAUAACAAUUAUAAUAAAAUCGAAUAAAAAGUAAGUAACCCAAUCGUAAAUCUUGUUAUUUAAUAUAAUCAAGAUAUUUUUGAACUACCUGAAAUUUGAAUGGAAGGUGUAUAUACUCGUCCCUAUUUUUUAGUUUAUUUCUUUUUUUAUUUUACAUUGAACAGAUGUAACAAAAGAACUAUCCUUUUUCCGAGUGGUAUGCAUCAACAGCAGCAGCAACAGCAGCAGCAGCAUCAAUUCGAGUUUUAUCUGUCUAGUGGAUCGUAACUUACCUGGAUUGUAAUUCGAGAAGGUAUAUCAAGAAAAA